GAUGAACGCUGGCGGCGUGCCUAAUACAUGCAAGUCGAGCGAACAGACGAGGAGCUUGCUCCUCUGACGUUAGCGGCGGACGGGUGAGUAACACGUGGAUAACCUACCUAUAAGACUGGGAUAACUUCGGGAAACCGGAGCUAAUACCGGAUAAUAUAUUGAACCGCAUGGUUCAAUAGUGAAAGACGGUUUUGCUUUCACUGAUAGAUGGAUCCGCGCCGCAUUAGCUAGUUGGUAAGGUAACGGCUUACCAAGGCAACGAUGCGUAGCCGACCUGAGAGGGUGAUCGGCCACACUGGAACUGAGACACGGUCCAGACUCCUACGGGAGGCAGCAGUAGGGAAUCUUCCGCAAUGGGCGAAAGCCUGACGGAGCAACGCCGCGUGAGUGAUGAAGGUCUUCGGAUCGUAAAACUCUGUUAUUAGGGAAGAACAAAUGUGUAAGUAACUAUGCACGUCUUGACGGUACCUAAUCAGAAAGCCACGGCUAACUACGUG
rnacentral:rRNA from 1 species